rnacentral:pre_miRNA from 13 species
GACUGGGAUAAUAGGUUAUCCUGUGCGGUCGGUAUAACAGGACCGCACGGGAUAAUCGAUUAUCCCGUGCGGUC